rnacentral:rRNA from 1 species
UAGGAGGCGUCGAGCGGCGGACGGGUGAGUAAUGCAUAGGAAUCUGCCCGAUAGUGGGGGAUAACCUGGGGAAACUCAGGCUAAUACCGCAUACGUCCUACGGGAGAAAGCAGGGGAUCUUCGGACCUUGCGCUAUCGGAUGAGCCUAUGUCGGAUUAGCUAGUUGGUGAGGUAACGGCUCACCAAGGCGACGAUCCGUAGCUGGUCUGAGAGGAUGAUCAGCCACACUGGGACUGAGACACGGCCCAGACUCCUACGGGAGGCAGCAGUGGGGAAUAUUGGACAAUGGGGGAAACCCUGAUCCAGCCAUGCCGCGUGUGUGAAGAAGGCCUUCGGGUUGUAAAGCACUUUCAGCGAGGAAGAAGGCCUGGGGGCUAAUACCCCUCAGGAAGGACAUCACUCGCAGAAGAAGCACCGGCUAACUCCGUGCCAGCAGCCGCGGUAAUACGGAGGGUGCGAGCGUUAAUCGGAAUUACUGGGCGUAAAGCGCGCGUAGGUGGCUUGAUAAGCCGGUUGUGAAAGCCCCGGGCUCAACCUGGGAACGGCAUCCGGAACUGUCAGGCUAGAGUGCAGGAGAGGAAGGUAGAAUUCCCGGUGUAGCGGUGAAAUGCGUAGAGAUCGGGAGGAAUACCAGUGGCGAAGGCGGCCUUCUGGACUGACACUGACACUGAGGUGCGAAAGCGUGGGUAGCAAACAGGAUUAGAUACCCUGGUAGUCCACGCCGUAAACGAUGUCGACUAGCCGUUGGGGUCCUUGAGACCUUUGUGGCGCAGUUAACGCGAUAAGUCGACCGCCUGGGGGAGUACGGCCGCAAGGUUAAAACUCAAAUGAAUUGACGGGGGCCCGCACAAGCGGUGGAGCAUGUGGUUUAAUUCGAUGCAACGCGAAGAACCUUACCUACCCUUGACAUCGUGCGAACUUUCCAGAGAUGGAUUGGUGCCUUCGGGAACGCACAGACAGGUGCUGCAUGGCUGUCGUCAGCUCGUGUUGUGAAAUGUUGGGUUAAGUCCCGUAACGAGCGCAACCCUUGUCCCUAUUUGCCAGCGAUUCGGUCGGGAACUCUAGGGAGACUGCCGGUGACAAACCGGAGGAAGGUGGGGACGACGUCAAGUCAUCAUGGCCCUUACGGGUAGGGCUACACACGUGCUACAAUGGUCGGUACAAAGGGUUGCAAUGCCGCGAGGUGGAGCUAAUCCCAUAAAGCCGGUCUCAGUCCGGAUCGGAGUCUGCAACUCGACUCCGUGAAGUCGGAAUCGCUAGUAAUCGUGAAUCAGAAUGUCACGGUGAAUACGUUCCCGGGCCUUGUACACACCGCCCGUCACACCAUGGGAGUGGACUGCACCAGA